rnacentral:lncRNA from 1 species
GGGAGCAGGAGUUGCCCGACCUCUUCUGAAGGGAUGUCUUUCAGCCCUCAUUGAGCACAGUCUUCCGGCAGCGUCGGGAUGUGCCCAGCUGCCCCUAAUCAAAGGUGAAACACCACCAUUCCCAGAGUGUCUUUGGGUGACAUCCCAACUCCAUCCGUAGACGCCUCCCUCCCAUCUCCAUGGCUCCUGAACUACACGGAACCAAACCAUGCAAUUCAGCUGAGGAAAGAGAGAGAGAGAGAGAGAGAGAGAGAGAGAGGGCCGAUGGGGCCAUCUGGUCAACCUUACUUCCUCUCAGAAAACCUGGAUAUGGCGAGCCACCAGGCAGCAUCCCAAACAGGUGAAGGUCGUCGCUCUAUUCUGGACUCGAGUGAGCUGUUGUGUGUGUGCAGCUGGGAGGCUGUGGUGUGUUACAGCUCGGACUUUGUCGUCACUUACAUGAGAUCCAAUUGGGCCAGGGACUUCAGCUCUUAGAACUGGAAACAGAGUGAAGAUCCUAGGCCGGGCGUUGGUGGCGCAUGCCUUUAAUCCCAGCACUCGGGAGGCAGAGGCAGGUGGAUCUCUGUGAGUUCGAGGCCAGCCUGGUCUACAGAGCAAGAGCCAGGAUAGGCUCCAAAGCUACACAGAGAAAC